GCAAAUGUAACGAUAACGAGAUAAAGCACUUUGGCAGAAAGCACAGGGCUAUAUUAACGUUUGCUCAGCCUCUGUCUUGUUCACAUUUUAAUGUAUUUUUUUUCUAAGGUCUUUCUUCAACUCCAGGUUUCAUUUUUGGCUUUUUAUUCUUUUUAAUGCCAUAAAACGUGUAGUUUUAGGCCCUAGCAGGUCUACGCAGGCAGAGACAAAGUUGCAGUUCUGAGAUUCUUGGGGACCGUUACAUCAUUUCCACAAAGAUUAACAAAACCUGCAGUUCUCCACCGAAGUUUACAGAUGGAAAACAUGAAUUCAGCUGCAUAGAAAGAAUCGAUGUGUCACAGCUGCCAUCGGCAGGAUGGCCAGAGGGUUGUGCAGGUCCACCCGGCUCAGCUGCACCUUUUUUAUCUGCCCUUCUGUGCUCCUCCUGCAGCUGGGCAGGUAGCCCACAAGGGCACAGGGGAGGCAGACCCCCCCGGCCAGCUGCAGCAGUCGCUCCUGCCAGCGCUCCCUUUCCUCCCGACCAUUCCCAUUUUGCAGGCUGGUGCCCUGUGUGGCAGAGGAGGAGAGAGCUGCGGGCAGAAGGAAAACAGGGUGCUGGGAUUCCUCCAGCCCGCUGCCAGAUGUCUUCUCUGGCAUGCUGGGGGUGGGCAGAGGACUGCGGGAGCAGCUUCGAGGCUCUGGGCAGGAGGGAAGGCAGCAAAGAUGCAGCUUCAGGCAGCGGACUCUGAGCUGGAGCGGUGCAGCCAGGCACGGCUGCACAGCUCACAGUCUGCACACACGGAAGAAGUUCGUCCAGCUGAGGGCUGCAGGGCUGUCCUUACCAAGCGCUCCCCCAUGCUGCAGUUCUGCAUGGGCACCGAUUGCUCAAGCUCUUCCCACUGCAGGAGCUCAGAAGCGACAACAGCCCCGACCCCAAACCAGGCAGGGUAAAAUGGACUCCAUGCCCAAGCUGAAGAUUUUUGUGAUGUUGCUGUCUCUGGCUACUUUCACAGCCAUGGUGAUACUGAAUGCUGGAAAUGCCACUGGUCUUUUCAAAGGUCUGUUCCGGACAACCCCUGGCAACAUCUCAGAGAAGUACAGCACCGACUUCACACCGGCUGGCUGGACUUUCCUCAUCUGGAAUGUCAUCUAUGCCUGGCAACUGGCGUGGCUCCUGUAUGCGCUGUUGGGGAUCUGCCGGAGAAAUGAACUUGGAUGUGUCUUCAUGAAGCCGGACCUGCUGCCAAUACCUUUUUACAUGGCAUGGAUUCUGAAUAAUGGCCUCAAUGUUGGAUGGCUGUUUCUAUGGGACAGAGAGUAAGCCACGCUUCUUACAGCAGCUUUCUAACCCUUAUGUUGGGACUGCUUCACUAGUGAAACAUUCGGGCAAGCCUUGGCAAAAACUACUCUUAAAUGUCUGGUUUUUUACAAUUUUCAUCUUGUCCAUGAGAUAGAUGGGCUGUUGAAGUUUUAUCUCUUCACAAUUGCUGUUCUUCAGUGUUUCAUCCAACAGAUAGGACAAGAGCCAUGACAGCCUUCAUAAAUACAGUUAAGCUCAUUGCCUUGGAUUGUUUUCAUCAUCGUGCUGGCAUGAAGGGCUUAUAAUAGUACCACUGUCAAGAGAUGAAGAAAUCAGCUGCUGUGAGGAAAUAAUAACUUAAUGAUUAGGAGUAAAACAGUAUGUCAAAAUGAGGCCUACACAUAGCGAUUACCUUUAUUAAAGGCUUGAUUAACUUAAAGUCAGUAAAGGCCAAACACUAAAGCUAUGAAUUAAGGCAUUGUGACACCACUGAAAAAAUGCAUUGUAUGUUGUGUGGUUUUUUUUUUUUUGUCCUAGAUACCUACUCCCAGCCCUGCUGUUGUUGGCAGCCCUCACUUUUACCACGGAUGCUGCUCUCUUCAUUUCACACAGAGCCUUGAGUAUCCAUUCCAUGUGGUUCAUGAAGGGCCACCAAGUUGAUCUCUGGCUCAUCCGAAUCCUAGUGCAGAAUGGGCUGGCACUGUAUGCCACAUGGACCACCAUCGCCACUCUGCUGAACUUUGCCGUUGUGUUGAUCUACAAGUGGGAUGUGUCCAAUGAGACAGCAACCACUGCCUCUCUGAGCAUCCUCACCCUCAUGCUUGUCCUGUGGUUUUGUCAGGAGAACUUCUUUCUUGAUAAGUACGUCCGUUAUAACCUCACGAUCUACCCGGUGGUUAUAAUAGCUCUGACUGGCAGCAUGUGCAAGGACUUCUCAGUUUCCUCCCCAACCACCAACGGUGUUUUUAUAGUUGUACUGCUGGCACUGACUUGUUUUAUCUUUGCUGUUCGGCUGGCGUUAGUCAUAAGGAAACACAGUAAUGAACUGCUGGAACCACCAACAUCACCACAGCCAUCAAGCACAGUGGCCUGAGACCUGUGGUAUGGUGAUGUUAUGACAGAAGCUUUAAAGGGAGAAUAGAAGCUGAGCAUCCUGCAACCACUGGUGCCUUCCCUCCAGUAACAAUUGCCUUUUUUUUGCCUUUUUUAAUAUAUAUAUUUUUUCUCUUUUUUAAUAUAUCCUGGAUUAGCACAGCUUUUGCCUGCAAACCUGUCCUCCUCCCCUAUUCUCUGAGCUCAGCUAUUUGCAGCUCCACCUCAAACAUGCAGCCUCCUCUGCUCAUUUUGUUUUGGAUCAAUGGAGGAAGAGGUCCUUUAUAUGAGUAGCUCUGUAUACCUUUGUGAUGACAGAACUGUGAGGAGGGCUGUCAACAGAUGCUUGGCACAGAGUUGCCUCUCACCCUUCCCUGCCCACCACAGGUCCCAGGAGAGGAGGGACGGCUGAAUACUUCUGCCACAGCUGCAGGUCUUUAGCCUAUUUCAGGUUGCUCUAACUCUAGAAACUGACAAUGUGCUCAUGUCUCAGCACACAGUAUUAUCUCUGUCCCUCUGCCUUGUUUUUUCUUCUGACUUUCUUGCUGAAGUUUGUACUGUGUUGGUGCCUCCAUCAGUGGCCCCACCCACUCCUCCUUUCAGACAGGGGAGAUCUAGGUGAUGUGAGAGCAGUGGAUUGCUUUUCCUGAGCUGUGCCCAUUCGGUGGCUGCCUCCUCCAGGAGGAUGCUUUGCAGCCCUUCUGCUGGGAUAUCAGCCAUUCUGACACCACAGUACCUAAUGGAGGGCAAACCCUGCUUCAUAGACCACUUCUUGUUUUCUGAGCUGCACAGAGUGAUUUCAUCCUGGAUCAGUGCUUUGUAAUGUGACUUCACCACCGCGGGCUUGCUUUGGGAAGCCUGACUGAGAACUGACUGGAUUGUCAGACCUCUGCCUCUAUUUGCUGUGCCUGAUAGAUUUGAUGAUGCCUUGCUGGUGUCUGGAAAGUCUUCCUGGAUGCCUGGUGCUUGGAAAUGCUGAAUAUCUUGCAGUACUCUCACAAAGGUGAAUUCUAUUAAAAUACAAUGCUAUUGUUUACAUUUAAUGAAGAACAAAGUCUGUAUUUGAUUCUUGUCAUUCUAUCGUUUCUUAUUUUUAAAUAAAGCAGCUACUGCCAACA
rnacentral:lncRNA from 1 species